rnacentral:lncRNA from 11 species
AACAGGAACCUAAAAAGGGGUUAAAAAACCCCCAAAAAGGCAACAAACCAUCUGCGCCUGCGCCAAAAGCGAACCUGCGCGCGGACAGAACAACCCCCACCCCACCUCUCAACGGCCGCACCUGCCCCCGAUGCUGCUGCUGCCAUCUUGCUGAACAGCCCCGAGCCACCACGUGCCAGGAGUAGGAAAAAGGCAGCCCCCACGGCUGGCCGCUCUGCCUAGGCGAGCCUGGGAAUUCCAUUUAGGCCUAAAGGGGCGGGUCUACUCACAGCAAGUCGAGCCGGUGGUGAGGUCCUGGAUCUCGACGCCGGGGUAGCCCUCACACUGCCAGCAGCAACAGGCCUGCAGGGCGCUGUGCCGGCCCAACAUGGGCUCAAGCCUCCCAGUUGCCUCUCCUGGCUCACCACUCACCACCCUGGGGGAGGGGGAAGCCGACUGGAGACCAAACUGGAUAGUCAAACUCUGGGCCUCCCGGCCCUCUGGAUGCGAGGGGGGGGCGGCCGCGGGGCUCCUCGGUCACUUCUUCCCUCACCGCCGCCAUCACCCGUCCUCCAAACCCUGAGAAGGAGCACGCCCCACACCACCCGGAGAUUAAGAGCCCACAGGCACACCGAACGACGUGAAUACCAACAUCAACAAAACAUGGGGAAAAUGUUUACAGGUGUUCACUUUUUUUCUAAAAGAAAGCAAGUCUAGGGAUUAAAACUCCAAACCUCAGAUUUCAAACUAGCCUCCAAUAUUUACUGGAACUGCUUGAGGCAACAUCUUGAAAGAGAAAUAUAUUAUAUGUGCUUCCUCUGGUUCUUGCUAAAUUUAACAGCUCUAAGAACCUAGACGUAUUCCCAAAACCAUAACUUAUCCUGUGACACAAUGCUGAACAAAUUCCAAAACACAAGCUAUGUUCAUCUGCUAUAGUUCUUGUGUCACUUCAAAGACCGACAGCCAAAAUUUUGUAUUACCAGCAUAACUACACCUCAUUUAUCAGUUGUGUUGGAUAGAACUGUUGGGAUUUGCAAUCCAAGAACAUCUGGGAUACUGCACUAUCUUCACUUGAUGUGAACACUACCAGUUUCCUUUUUUUUCGUGUCAGGAGCAACUUGAGUCGCUUCUGGAGUGAGAGAAUUGGCCGUCUGCAAGGACGUUGCCCAGGGAUGCCCAGAUGUUUUGAUGUUUUUACCAUCCUUGUGGGAGGCUUCUCUCAUGUUCCCGCAUGGAGCUGGAGCUGAUAGAGGGAGCUCAUCCACGCUCUCCCUGGGUGGGAUUCGAACCUGGCAGCCUUCAGGUCAGCAACCCAACCUUCAAGUCACAAGGCUUUAAUCCACUACCCCACCGAGGGCUCCUAGUUUCCAUUUAUUAAAUGAGCCUACUCUACUUCCUACUAAAUUGUUGAUGCCGUUAUGUCUUUAUGACUGAUCAGUCUGUCUCAUGGUGGUUCGUGUUCAUUUUCUUAGUUUCACAAAAAAAGAGAAAAAUGUCGGAAUAUACAAAUUACAUUUUAUAAAAUUGGAGAAACUUAAAAAAUAAAAACCAAACAUUCAAAUAUAUGGCUGUCUUAGUUUGAAAUAUCAGUAUGCAAAGGGAUCUUGGAGCACCUUAAAGACUGAGAAAAUGAAGUUGGUAGCAGAAACUUUUGCAAAAGUUGAGUAGAUAAAUAGGAACCGCUUUGGCAAGGAGAUGAAAGGCACGCCUGAAAAACAUGCCGGUGGUUUGAUCAGGAAGGCGCCCAGGAAUGACAAGACCCUUUGGCAUGGAAGAAUGAAACAACAACACCUUCCCAUGGUUGAGUCAAGCACAGCCUCCAUAUGCCAGAAAUGAAAAAAGAGGGAAGCCUUGCCUCUGUUUAUGUACUGUCUGUCUUUGUCAAUUGUAUAACAACAUUGAAUGUUUGCCAUAUAGGUACCUGUAAUCUGCUCUGAGUCCCCUCGGGGAGAUAGAGCGGAAUAUAAAUAAAGUAUAUAUAUUUUUGUAGAUUAAGAGUGGACCUAUUUAUUUCUUAUUAUUUAAUUAAUUAAUUUAUAUACCGCUCUUCUCCCCCAGGGGGACCCAGAGUGGUCUUACAUAAUGGCAAGAUUAAUGCCACAUAUAAUACAAAAUGCACUGUAGAAUGACUGCAUUUUUGCUAUCAUAGUUCAGUGCUAUGUCAUCCUGGGAUUUGUAGUUGGGUAAGGUACCAGCACUCUUUAGCACAGGAGGCGGAAGACCUUGUGACAACUCUCAGGAUUCCACAGAAUUGGGCCAUGUCAGUUUAAGCGAUAGAAAUAUGUUUUAAUAUAGGUUUUAUUGAAUGUAUUUUAGUAUGAUUAUUAAGAGUUGUGCAAAAUUUCUGGGGGCAAUUAGUAAGUCAUAUAAAUUAAUAUAAAUUCAUACUAACAAACUGCACUUACAAUUCAAAAUUGAGCCUCUCUGAAUUGAAGCAAAACUAAACAGUCCACUUGGGAUUCUGAAUAUAAUAUCAUUAAAUUUCUUUAAUAUUU